rnacentral:rRNA from 1 species
GUACCUACGGGGGGCAGCAGUGGGGAAUAUUGGGCAAUGGGGGAAACCCUGACCCAGCGACGCCGCGUGAGGGAAGAAGGUUUUCGGAUUGUAAACCUCUGUCCUUGGUGACGAUAAUGACGGUAGCCAAGGAGGAAGCCACGGCUAACUACGUGCCAGCAGCCGCGGUAAUACGUAGGUGGCGAGCGUUUUCCGGAAUUACUGGGGGUAAAGGGAGCGUAGGCGGGAGAGCAAGUCGACUUUGGAAGCUAUG